GACGAACGCUGGCGGCGUGCUUAACACAUGCAAGUCGAACGGAAAGACCCUGCUUUUGUGGGGUGCUCGAGUGGCGAACGGGUGAGUAACACGUGAGUAACCUGCCCUUGACUUUGGGAUAACUUCAGGAAACUGGGGCUAAUACCGGAUAGGAGCUCCUGCUGCAUGGUGGGGGUUGGAAAGUUUCGGCGGUUGGGGAUGGACUCGCGGCUUAUCAGCUUGUUGGUGGGGUAGUGGCUUACCAAGGCUUUGACGGGUAGCCGGCCUGAGAGGGUGACCGGCCACAUUGGGACUGAGAUACGGCCCAGACCCCUACGGGAGGCAGCAGUGGGGAAUAUUGCACAAUGGGCGGAAGCCUGAUGCAGCAACGCCGCGUGCGGGAUGACGGCCUUCGGGUUGUAAACCGCUUUCGCCUGUGACGAAGCGUGAGUGACGGUAAUGGGUAAAGAAGCACCGGCUAACUACGUG
rnacentral:rRNA from 1 species